rnacentral:rRNA from 1 species
GACAGAGGAUGCAAGCGUUAUCCGGAAUGAUUGGGCGUAAAGCGUCUGUAGGUGGCUUUUUAAGUCUGCCGUCAAAUCCCAGGGCUUAACCCUGGACAGGCGGUGGGAACUACCAAGCUGGAGUACGGUAGGGGCAGAGGGAAUUUCCGGUGGAGCGGUGAAAUGCGUAGAGAUCGGAAAGAACACCAACGGCGAAAGCAGCUUGCUAGUACGCGCCUGACACUCAAUAACGAAAGCGUGGGUAGCGAAUGGG